AGCGCUUCAGUAGCGAGAGGGGCUGAGAAAGUGGUGACACCGUCGGGGUGCGGAGGGAGUCCCUGAAACUUCUCCCAACAGCCCCAGGGCCAAUCUCCCCUCAGCCCACUCCCCUCUUCGCCAGCUCCCAGGUCCCCACUCCCUGUACCGGGGGUGGGGUGGGGAGCCAGGCCCGUCUCCCGCUGGGACACACACAGGGGCCGGGAGCGGGGACGGGACCCCCGAGGCGGGGGGGACGGACCGACAGACAGACGGCUGGGCGCCCGCCCCAGCGGGCAGGCAGGCAGGAGGAGGCGGAGGCGGGGGUACGACGGGGAGGACUGGGUCUGGGGAGUUUCCUCUCAACUAUCGGGGGAGAAACUCCCCGCAGCCGGAGGAAAGACCCAGACGGUGUUUUCCUCCCGGGGGCCGUGCUCCCCCGCCCCGCGUAGCGGCGGUCGCCACCGCCGGCCCCUCCACCUCUACCAUCUCCUCUUUCUCCACCACCUCGGGCCCCGGUGUCCCCGGCCAGCACUAUGCCCAUCUUACUGUUCCUGAUAGACACGUCUGCCUCUAUGAACCAGCGCAGCCAUCUGGGCACCACCUACCUGGACACGGCCAAAGGCGCGGUAGAGACCUUCAUGAAGCUCCGUGCCCGGGACCCUGCCAGCAGAGGAGACAGGUAUAUGCUGGUCACUUUCGAAGAGCCGCCCUAUGCUAUCAAGGCUGGAUGGAAAGAAAACCAUGCAACGUUUAUGAAUGAACUGAAAAACCUUCAGGCUGAAGGACUUACGACUCUUGGCCAAUCCCUAAGGACAGCUUUUGAUUUAUUAAAUUUAAAUAGAUUAGUAACUGGCAUAGACAACUAUGGGCAGGGAAGAAACCCUUUUUUCUUGGAGCCAGCAAUAAUUAUCACGAUUACUGAUGGGAGCAAGUUGACUACCACCAGUGGAGUCCAGGAUGAGCUUCAUUUACCUCUUAAUUCUCCUUUGCCUGGAAGUGAAUUGACCAAGGAACCUUUUCGUUGGGAUCAGAGACUCUUUGCAUUAGUGUUGCGGUUGCCUGGCACCAUGUCAGUAGAAUCAGAACAGUUGACAGGUGUGCCUUUAGAUGACUCUGCAAUCACACCAAUGUGUGAAGUGACAGGCGGCCGUUCAUAUUCUGUGUGUUCUCCAAGAAUGCUUAAUCAGUGUCUGGAGUCCUUGGUGCAGAAAGUACAAAGUGGGGUGGUAAUAAACUUUGAAAAAGCAGGACCAGAUCCUUCCCCUGUAGAAGAUGGGCAGCCAGAUAUAUCAAGGCCUUUUGGAUCUCAGCCUUGGCAUAGCUGUCACAAACUCAUAUAUGUCAGACCAAAUCCUAAAACUGGGGUUCCUAUAGGUCAUUGGCCUGUUCCAGAGUCUUUUUGGCCAGAUCAAAAUUCGCCAACACUACCACCUCGAACAUCUCAUCCUGUAGUGAAGUUUUCCUGUACAGACUGUGAACCAAUGGUUAUUGAUAAACUUCCUUUUGACAAAUACGAGUUGGAACCUUCACCACUGACUCAAUUUAUCCUGGAAAGGAAAUCUCCUCAAACAUGUUGGCAGGUGUACGUGAGCAAUAGUGCAAAAUACAGUGAACUUGGUCAUCCUUUUGGUUACUUGAAAGCCAGUACAGCACUGAACUGUGUCAACUUAUUUGUGAUGCCUUACAAUUAUCCAGUCCUUCUUCCCCUCUUAGAUGACUUGUUUAAAGUGCAUAAAGCAAAACCAACAUUGAAGUGGAGACAGUCAUUUGAAAGUUAUUUGAAGACAAUGCCUCCCUACUAUCUCGGGCCCUUGAAGAAAGCUGUUAGGAUGAUGGGAGCACCUAACCUAAUAGCAGACAGUAUGGAAUAUGGACUUAGUUACAGUGUCAUUUCAUACCUCAAAAAACUGAGUCAACAGGCCAAAAUAGAAUCUGAUCGGGUCAUUGGAUCUGUAGGCAAAAAAGUAGUACAGGAAACUGGAAUAAAAGUCCGGAGCCGAUCACAUGGUUUAUCAAUGGCAUAUAGGAAAGAUUUUCAACAACUCCUCCAGGGAAUUUCAGAGGAUGUCCCUCACAGACUGCUAGACCUUAAUAUGAAGGAAUACACUGGGUUCCAAGUUGCUUUGCUAAAUAAGGAUUUGAAGCCACAGACAUUUAGAAAUGCUUAUGACAUACCAAGACGAAAUCUUUUGGAUCACUUAACAAGAAUGAGAUCUAAUCUUUUGAAGAGCACUCGCAGAUUUCUGAAAGGACAGGACGAAGAUCAAGUGCACAGUGUUCCUAUAGCACAAAUGGGGAACUACCAGGAAUACCUCAAGCAAGUACCUUCUCCACUAAGAGAACUUGAUCCUGAUCAGCCGCGAAGGUUGCAUACAUUUGGCAACCCCUUUAAGCUGGAUAAGAAGGGUAUGAUGAUAGAUGAAGCAGAUGAAUUUGUGGCUGGACCUCAAAAUAAACAUAAACGACCUGGAGAACCAAAUAUGCAAGGGAUCCCUAAAAGACGUCGGUGUAUGUCUCCAUUACUAAGAGGCAGACAGCAGAAUCCUGUUGUAAACAAUCAUAUUGGGGGAAAAGGACCACCUGCACCUACAACUCAAGCACAGCCAGAUCUUAUUAAACCUCUUCCUCUUCAUAAAAUUUCAGAAACCAGUAAUGAUUCGAUAAUACAUGAUGUGGUUGAAAAUCAUGUUGCAGACCAACUUUCAUCAGACAUUACACCAAAUGCUAUGGAUACUGAAUUUUCAACAUCUUCUCCAGCCAGUUUACUGGAACGGCCAACCAAUCAUACGGAGGCUCUUGGUCAUGACCAUUUAGGAACCAAUGACCUCACUGUUGGUGGAUUUUUAGAAAAUCAUGAGGAGCCAAGGGAUAAAGAACAAUGUGCUGAAGAGAACAUACCAGCAUCUUCACUCAACAAAGGAAAGAAAUUGAUGCAUUGCAGAAGCCAUGAAGAGGUCAAUACUGAACUAAAAGCACAAAUAAUGAAAGAAAUCCGAAAGCCAGGAAGAAAAUAUGAAAGAAUCUUCACUUUACUGAAGCAUGUGCAAGGCAGUUUACAAACAAGACUAAUAUUUUUACAAAAUGUCAUUAAAGAAGCAUCAAGGUUUAAAAAACGAAUGCUAAUAGAACAACUGGAGAACUUCUUGGAUGAAAUUCAUCGAAGAGCCAAUCAGAUCAACCAUAUUAAUAGCAAUUAAAAGAAAAUAGAAUGUGGCCACUUAUUUCACUAUCUUCUUCAAAUACAAAAUGGGAAAAUCAAGACUUAAAGAGUUUAAGAAACUUGCCCAAGAUGACAUAAUGAGUAUGUGAUGGACCUCGAUUCAAAUCAAGCCUGUGUGUGUGUGCAGAGCCCAUGCUCUAAUCACCUACAUUUUGCUACCUCCCAUCUCGUGUGGCAUCUCACAUAUAGUAGGUGCAGAAAAGAGGCUGUUGACUAAUUGCCUUAUUGACAACUAAUAGAGUAUUUUAUUUAAUAGAGUGUUUAUACUGGAUAAAAUAUAUUUUCAUAUUUGCUAUGUGCAGUUUAUGCCUUUGGAGCACAGUGGGAAAAGAAUGGAACUUAAAGCCUUGGUUUUCCUAGUAAACCCUUUGAGCACAAAGAAUCAGUACACCAAUUUUAUAUUUCCCCAGGGACAAGGCAUUUAAAAAUUUACUGUUGAAGGAUCCUUUAAAAGGGCUGCUGAUAUUAUUUUUCUUUGAAAAUAAAAAAGAUCAAAAUGGAAAUUAGAUGGUCUUUUUCUAUAAAUAAUACAGAACUUACAGGAGAGUAAAAAUAUUGAACAAGACCAUUUAAUAUCAAAGGUCUUCAUUGCUAUACAAGACAGUAUGACUCAUACUUUAAACAAAAGUAUCAUACUUUCUCAUAAAGGUAUGUUUUGAAUCUUCAGAAUAGUUUCCAAAAAAGAAAUACACUUUCUCCAAGUAUGCUGAUAUUUCUCCAAAAAAUUUUUAGACUCUCUCUUAUGAAAUUUUCUUAAGUACUGAAAACACAUCCUUUUUGAAACCUCUAAAUGCUGAAACAGUGGUUAUGAGCAUGGACUGGGGAACCCAGUGCCUGAGUUUGAAUCCCGGAUCAAGUAACUACCUGCAAACUAGUUACUUUACCUCCGUGGGAAGUUACUUUACUUCUCUUUGUCACAGUCCUUAUUUGUGAAAUGACCAUAAUUGUAAUGCGUGUUUGUAGGGUUGUAAAGAUUAAAUGAAUGAAUCCUUGCAAAGUGCUUGGAACAAUCCCCAGCACAGCCCAUGCACUUAUUGUUACCAUUGUGAUUUUUAAAUUAUUUUUCAAUUAUAUUGAGAAAGAGUUAAUUAAGGGCUAUUUGAAGCUAAAUAUGAUUAUGGUGGGUAAUAAAACUGGAUAAUAUCAUUUUUCAUAAACUAAAAAUAUCAGUAAAAGUGAGAUAUGACUAUAAAAGAUUAGAGUGAUUGUCUUGUAUGGCUAUGAAGGCAGAUCCAGAAGAAAUGCUACAAAAAUAACUUGAAUAAAAAAAAUACCCUUUACCAAUACCAGAAAAGGAUAGUACAAGAAAGACAAAUUACAGACCAAUAUACCUUAUGAAUAUAGAUGCAAAAUCUUCAACAAAAUACUAGCAAAUUGAAUCCAACACCAUAUAAAUCUCCCCAUGACAAAGUGGGAUUUAUCCCAGGAAUGCAAAGUGGGUUCAACAUAUGAAAACCAAUUAAUAUAAUACACCAUAUUAAUAGAAUAAAGGACAAAGGCCACAUCACCAUCUCAGUAGAUGCAGAAAAAGCAUUUGACAAAGUCCAACACCCUUUCAUGAUUAAAAACAAACAAACAUCAAACAUACAACAAACUUUGGAUAGAAGGUAACUUCCUUAAAUUGAUGAAGGGCAGCUACAAAAACCCCACAGCUAAUAUCACACUUUACAGUAAAAGACUGAAAGCUUUCCCCCUAAGAUCAGGAACAAGACAAGAAUGUCCACUCUGACCCCUUCUAUUUCACAUGGUACUGGAGGGUGAGUAGGACAAUUACAUGAGAAAAAGAAAUAGAAGUCAUCCAGGUUAGAAAUAAAGAAUUAAAUCUAUCUCUAUUCACAGAUGACUUGGUCCUGUACAUAGAAAACCCUAAAGAAUCCACACACAAAAAAAAAACCUAUUAGAGCUAAUAAAUGAGUUCAGUAAGGUGCAGCAUACAAGAUUAAGAUACAAAAAUCAAUUGUGUUUGUAUACACUGUAGAACAAUCUGAAAAUGAGUAAAAAUUAAAAGGAGUAAAAUACUUAGAAUAAAUUUAAUAAAAGAAGUGCAAGACUUGCAUACUGAAAACCACAAAACAUUGUUGAAAGAAACAAAGAAAGACCUAAAUGGAAGGAAAUAUAUUCUGAGUUCAUGGCCCAGAACACUUAAUAUUGUCAGAAAGUAAUACUCACCAAAUUGAUCUAAAGAUUCAACACAAUCCCUGUCUAAAUCCCUCCUGCAUUUUUGGCAAAAAUUGACAAGCUGAUUCUAAAAUUUAUAUGAAAAUGCAAGGGGCCCAGAAUAGCUAAAACAAUCUUGAAAAAGAAGAAAGUUGAAGGACUCAUACUACAGUAAUGAAGGCUGUGUGGUACUGGCAAACAUACAAACAUCUAUGCCUAUAGGAUAGAAUUGAAAGUCCAGAAAUAAACUUAUACAUUUAUGGGCAGUUGGUUUUGACAAAGAUGCCAAGAAAAUUCAGUGGAGGAAAGAAAAAUCAUUUUAACAAAUGAUAUUGGGACAAAGGGAUAGAUACACACAAAAGAAUGAAGUUGAAUCCCUACCUCAUAGUAUAUACAAUAAUUAACUCAAAAUGGAUUAAAGACCUAAAUAUAAGAGCUAAGCCUACAAAGUUCUUAGAAAAAAACAUAAACCUAAAUUUGUGUGACCCUAACUAGACAAUGGUGUCUAUUCAAUAGAAUAUGGCAUCAAAAGCACAAGAAACAAAAGAAAACAUAGAUUAAUCGAGCUUCAUCCAAAUUAACAACUUUUGUGCUUCAAAGGACACCGUUGAGAAGUGAAAAGAAAAACCACAGAAUGACAGAAAGUAUUUACAAAUCAUAUAUCUGUUAAGGUACUAGUGUCUAGAAUAAAGAACUAUUACAACUCAAUAAUAAAAAGACAACCAAUUUAAAUAUGGGAGAAACCUCUGAAAUAGACAUUUCUACAAAAAAGACAUUUCUCCAAGUACAUGAAAAGAUGCUCUAUACCUCAUUAGUCAUUAGGGAAAUGCAAAUGAAGUCCACAAUGAGAUACUACUUCACACCAACUAGAAUGGCUAAAAUAAAAAGAUGGUCAUUAACAAGUGUUGACAAGGAUGUGGAGAAACUGGAUUCCACACACAUUGCUGGUAGGAAUGUAAAAUGGUGCAGUAACUUGGAAAACAGUCUGGUAGUUCUUCAAAACGUAAAAUGGAGGGUUACCACAUGACCUAGUAAUUGCAUUCUUAGGUGUAUAUCCAAGAUAAUUGAAAACAUAUAUAUACACAAAAAAAUGUGCACUUGAUUGUUUCUGGUGGCCAAGAAGUUAAAACAAGCCAAAAUGUGUCUAGGCACUCAAAUAUCUAUAAAUUGAUGAAUAGGUAAACAAAAUGUAGUAUAUCAAUACAAUGGAAUAUUAUUCAGUCAUAAAAAGGAAGAUAGUAUUGAUUCAUGCUACUAUGAACCUUGAAAAUAUUAUGCAAAGAAGCCAGACACAAAAGGCCACACAUUGUAUAAUUGUACAAUAUGUAAUUGUAUAAUUUCACUUACAUGAAAUUCUGGAAUAGGCAAAUCUAUUGAGAGCAAGUAGAUCAGAGGUUGCUAGGAGGUGGGGAGGGGAGUUGGGAGUGACUGCUAAUGGAUAUGGGGUUUCUUUUUGAGGUGAUGAAAAGGUUCUGGAAUUAGUAGUGAUGGUUGCACAACUUUGUGAACAUACUGAAAACCUCUGAAUUGUGUACUUUAAAAUGGUGAAUUUUAUGUGAAUUAUACCUUGAUUUUUUAAAAAAGAAACACUCCUAGAAAAGCAUAAACCACACACCAUGAUAAUCAGCAGCUCCUGGAAGGAAGGGCAAAACUCAUUUUGAAUAUGUGGGAUCUGGUGGAUUUUAAGAAGAUAUAUAUUAUAUCUAAUAUCAAAACAUGCUCAUGCUCAGCCUUCUAUGUUGACCUAAUAAUCAAAUGUUUUAUUCAUUACAUGCAUAUUUGGCAUUAUUAGUCUUUCUUGUGGGACAUCACAUGAUUGUGGUUAUAAAUAACCCUUAACACAUUCUUGGUUUUCUUGAUUAUUCCUUUAGUAUGCUAAGCAUCCCUCAUGAAGAUUAACAGUCCCUAUGCACUUUUUUGUUUAUUUAUAAAUAAAAGGUUACUUUGGAAGCUAGACACCAUAAUUCAUCCAGAAUCUACUAGUGCACUGCUUGGUGAUGUCUAACCUGAAAGCACAUCUCAUAGUCACACAAUUUUGCAUUGCUACCCAUAGUGUGCAAAAUUUUUUUGCUCUUGUUAAAUGAAAAAUGCCUGCUGACUGUAGAGCAAGUCAUACUAAAAGAAGAAUGAGUGAUUUGAGAGAAUGGGAGAUAAAUUCCUGCCUAAAAGCUGAUUUUGUGUCUACCAUGAUCCAAAGUUUAUAUCUAAAUCUAGACCUAAAACAGUUUUUACUUUUUCUGUUUUGUUCCCCAAAGGAUUUAAAGCUAGCUUAAAAACAAACAAAAAGAAAAACUUGGUUAGUUUUACUUGUGAAGUAACUUCAUUUUCCUAAAAACCUCUAUCCUUCUUGGACAGCAGUCUUGGUAGUCUUAAGGAGAUUUAAAAAAAAAAAAAUUAUCAGAAUGAGGUUAACUGCUAACUAAUAGUUGUGUUACUAAGAUUUCUGCCUUGCCUUGCCUUCCCUGCCUGCCAGUGUUUUUCAGGAUCACUGCUUGAGGAUUUGAGACUUCUAAAAGCAGAAUAAGGACGGUGGAAAGUUCUCAGUGGAGCUGGGAAUUUCCCUGGGGUCUCUUCCAGGGAAGAGCUGCUCGAGGGUGAGGCCCACCAUCUGUCUCUUAAACCCAAAAAGGUUGGGGUAAAUUCCUGCACCAGCCUCCUUUUUCUCUCUGCUUUUGACAUGGAACGCUGCUCUUCCUUCCCUUGCUGAGUUUCUCUCAAAUAUAAUAGGAAGAUUAGGGUUGCUUCUGCUCCCUCCCUGAGAGAUCUGUUGAAAUAUCCAGUAUUUGGGUUUUGGUUUGGGGUCCAAAUAUUUAGUUUUGAGAGAUACACUUUACCUUAGAGUUAAGUGCACCUUUUGUCCUGGGCUAUGCCAGAUCUCACUUUAGACCUUGGCCCUUAACUUGCUGGGUCUCUCUUUGUAUGUUUUCCUUCUAGUGCAUAGAUUUAUUUUUAACUCCUUGAGGGAGUACUGCCAAGGACUUUGCCUUUGCCUACUGGAAGCCCAGGCAGUGGAGAGAGGCCAAGGCAGCUAGUGGCUGCUGGACAACAUUCCUUGCUUAAUGCUGGUCAAAAAAUGGUUAUAAAUUUACUCUGAUUUCAAAUAUAUCACAGAAGCUCAUCAUUUAAAGAAGCCCUAAGAGGAAUCUUUUUGUAAAGUUAUGAGUUUUGCUAAUAGAUUUUGUUUUGAAAAAGCAAAAUAGAAUGCCACCACUUCACUUUUUGAUUUGUAUUUGUACCUAUUGGAUCUUCUUAAAGGAGAGUUCACCUCCAUUUAGAAAAAAUGAGAACCUUCUGCAUAGAGACUUAAAAUGUCAAAAUUUUAUGCCUUAAUUUGGCUUCUGAUCAGAAUUUUAUCUGUACUUGCUCAAUUACAUAAGUCAUCUUAUCUCUUUGGUUUUGGAAAAAUGACAGUUGUAUACUCUUAGGAUGGGAUAAGAUUUGGGCAACGUUCCUACAAGGGAACCACGAACAUUUCCUCUCCAAAAACUGGUUGUAGCCUAGGGCUGGAUCAGGGGGUCCUGGGGGGCUCCAGUCCAGCCCAGUGAAGGCAGAAUAUCUUGUCUUGGAAAGACUCUGGGAAGUUAGUUCAUUUCAGUCUGUACCGUGAGCUAGCCAGCAGUGGCUCUGAAAUGGACUCAAACUCUAGGGUCACUUCCUCUUGGCCUAACUUCUGGGGGUACACAUUAAACAAGUCAUCCCAGUGGCUAAGCACAGACCCUAGAGGCAGACCACCUGUGUGCAAAUCCACGCUCUUCUGACUGCUGGCUGCACGGCACCUGUAAGGGGGACUCAGCUGCUCACCUGGGCAGGAACACAUCCAUCCUGGCUCUCCUCAGGCUGGUGGUCCAGAGGUGGAUGGUGCUGGCUGUGAGGUGUGGCUCGAUGUGGCUCAUGGGGGUGUCUUUGUCACGGGGCAGCACCAGGAACAGACUCACUGCACUUCCCAGGUAAGGCAGCUCCAGCACCCCCACCUGAUGGCCUGCAGUGUCCUGGAACUGACCUGAGGGUACAGUGGAUCAGAGGUCAGCACUGUCCCAGGAGCCAGGAGAAUUAACCAGUGUCAGACCCUGAGAGAGGCUGGCUCAGAGGACUGGAAACAAUAAAACGGAGCAUCCACCUCAUCCUCAGGAGGCAGUUUCAGGCCAAAGACUGUUGGGCAAUAUGGUCAUUUUAUAAAAAUCCUAGACCUAGAGUCUUUAAGAUACCCUUACAGGACCAGAGGCAGAGGCUCUGUAGGGCUGGGUAUGGGGGGGACGAUGGCACGUGCAGAACCACAGAGUAGUGCCCCGUUAUCCUUGGCAGAUAUGCUCCAAGAACCCCAGUAGAGGCCUGAACCUGUAGAUGGUAAUGAGCCCUGCAUAUACUACGUUUUCUCAAUCUGAUGACUGAGAUGGCUGCUAAGUGACUAACGGGCAUACUGUAGACAGCCUGGAGAUACUGGACAAAGGAAUGAUUCAUAUCUCAGGUGGAACAGAGAAGGACGUGAGGAGAUUUCACCACACUAUUCAGAAGGGUGUGCAAUUUAAAACUUGAGUUAUUUGUGAAAUUUUCCAUUUAAUAUUUUCUGAUGCAGAUAACUGAAACCUCAAAAAGCAAAAUCAUGGGUAAGGGUACAGGGUACUACUGUACCCGGUCUUAAAGAAGCAGCCAAUUCAAUCCCAGCCUAUUGUGCCUGUCAGGGUGGCAGUUUGGUCCAAACUCUACUAGUGCAGAAGGAAAUGUCAAGCAUGAAACUGAGUUUCUCUUCCACAUCUGUGUCCUCACUGUCCUGUCAGAGCACACUGUCCAACACUCCUCUCUAAAGUCUCCAGGCACUCUAGUCUUUCCUUCCGCCAUGCACACCCAGUCCAGCAGAUGGACCCUGUGGAAAUACAUCCUGAUCCCUUAGGAGCAGGGACCUGGCCUCCUCUCUCCUGCCCUCAGGCCCGGGCUUCCUCUCCCUUUAGACAAACCAGCAGGGGCAGAGCUCACCGUAGUUGACCUCGGCCAUUUGGUGCAUCAUGGGGACCUGAAGGACGAGGCCAUGGGCACAGGUGAAAGGCAGGAUCUGCGUGUCUGUGGAGGAGAAUCUCUUCUGCCAAGUGCCUUGGAAGGACAUGGUGCUCACAAGCACAAGCUGAGCAAAUGCUGCACUGACUUGCUCCCACGGCCAGCCAUCAGGGCCCUCACUGGGGCCCUCACCUGCAAGCAGGAAAGCAAGGGGGCCGUGGGUUAAAUGUGCAUUGAAACUGAACCGAACCCAGUGUGUGUGUGGAUGAGGAGUGCAGAGUUAAAAUGUGAAAAUGAAGGUCUUUUUGCUUAAGGUGGUCUCUCUCUUCAUCUUACAAUAUCUUUUCAGUCUACUUAAGAAUAUUUAAUUCCCUGUCUCAGCUCCUUGUGCUGUCAGGGACCCAAGGCACCAGGAGCUGCUCUCAACUUUUGGGGACUGUUGAGCGAUAUGGUCAUUUUAUAAAAAUCCUAGACCUAGAGUCUUUAAGAUAACCUCACAGAGCCGGAGUCAGAGACUCUGUAGGGCUGGGUAUGGGGGCGACAAUGACAACCCCUGCUGGGGAAUGAGAGUGUGGAGAGGGAAAUGGAAAGUGAGAACUCGGAAGUCCUGACACCUGGGUGACCAGUCAGGGGAGGUGGGGGCAGUGAGGCAUCUCUGGAGUUGGGUUGGUAGCGUAUUUAUUAAAAUCUGUUAAUUGCAAAUUGAUGUGUUUAUAACCAGCUGUUGCUGAAGACCCUGCUUUUUAUUCUUUUCUGAACAGGUUGGGAUGCUGCUCCUGGUUCUGUUUGGGGCCAUUUCCUAGGAAUUAUUAGACAUUUCCUCCCCAGGCAGACCCUUGGAAGGAGUAUGUGCUGUGAUGGGAGAUCCUGCACAUUGUCGCCCCCAGUCCCCACCCUGCCCCACUGCUGAGCUGAAUCUCUCACUGAGCCUUUGCUUAGACAACAAUAUUCAAGGUAUGGUCUUUGGAGGGCUGCAGUUAAAAUUUCAUGCAGUGUCAGAAAGAGGAGCAGGCAGACUACCCCUAUGGGGAUAGUUUUUUGUCCCAGCUGUUUAUUUGUUUAAUACGCACACACUUUGUGCUAGGCUCUGUUCUAAGUGCUUUAGCAAAUCCUCACUGACUCCUCCUAACAGUUCUAUUGUUAUUCCCUAUUUCACAGGUGAGGGAACUGAGGCUCAGAGAAGUUGGGUAAAGUUACAUACUUAUGAGGGGUGAAGCCACCAUCCACCCAGUUAGCCAAUGCAAUGUGGAUUGCAUUGAAAUAGAACCCCAGCGGCUCCAUGGAAAGCUUGGAUUUGAACCCAAGCAGCCUGGCUCUGGACUCUGUGCUCUGAGCAACUGAGCCAACUGCCCCUUUUUCUUAGAGGACAAUCACCAUGCAUUGGGAGCUGCUUCUCUGGCCUUACGCCCUGGCAGCACAAGGAUGUGAGCAGGGAAUUAAACAUAUUUAAGUAAAUUGAAAAGACAUGGUAAAAUAUAAGAGCACGAGAGAGAACUUUAUCGCAAAAGAUGUUAAUUUUUGCAUUUAAUUCUGCCACCCUUGUCCACACACUCACCGUUUUCCACUCAGUCGUAGUAUACAUAUCACUUCCUAUUCUGCUUUUUUUUUUUUUUUUUGAGAUGAAAUCUUGCUGUUGCCCAGGCUGGAGUGCAGUGAUGCAGUCUCGGCUCACUGCAACCUCUGCUUCCCGGGUUCAAGCGAUUCUCCUGCCUCAGCCUCCCUGAGUAGCUGGGAUUACAGGCACAUGCCACCAUGCCUGGCUGAUUUUUUGUAUUUUUAGUAGAGAUGGGUUUCACCAUGUUGGCCAGGCUAGUUCAAACUCCUGACCUCGUGAUCUGCCUGCCUUGGCCUCCCAAUCCUAUUUUGCUUUUUAACUAACACUGGGUCUUGAAUGUUCUCCACAUUGCUGUGAAACUUUUGAAAUGAUCAAGGACGCUGGAGCCAGACCACCUGGGUUAGAAUCCUGGCCUGUGGACCCUGGGCAGGAGGGUGAGCCUUCUGUGCCUCAGUUUCUGCAUUUAUGGAAUGGGUAGAGUAAUAGCGCCUACCCCUUAGGAUUAUUGUGACGUUAAACUGAGAUAAUCAACUUGGAGCAGUGCUAACUAAAUAAACACUCAGUAAGCGUUCAUGAUUUUAAUUAUCUUUCAUAAUAAUUACAACUGCAUAACAUGCAGGUGCUGUGCUACACUGAUUCACACCUCAUUGCCGGGCAGCGAGGCUGUUUGUAAGUCUCUUUCUUCAAUAACACUGAGCUAAACAUCUUAUUGUGUGUAACUUUUUCUUAAAUUAUUUCCUUAACCUAAAUUCCCAGGAAACCACUUUUUUUGGCUCCUGUUGCAUUUUGCUAUCACAGGUGGUUUAUUAUGAUGAGAGCAGAGCUCGGUGGGGGGACAGUUGCAUGGGAGAAAGCCUGUGGGGUCCUCCGAGGUGGGAGGCUCUGAAGAGUACACUUCUGUGUUCUUGUGUGCUCUCAUGGCUCGUGUGUGUUUGUGUGCCCAUGUGUAUAUUUGUGUGGGGGAGGGUCAGAGCAGGAAGAGAAGCAGAAAGGGACUCAGUGUCCCCUUGUCAUUCAAGGGUAGGAUCUCCUAAGAGGACAAACUUCUGCUGUAAUUGAAGGUGGCCUGAGCACCAUGGCCUCUGACAAGUGAUGGGUGAGACUCUGUCUCUGCAGCCCUCUGCCUUAGCCUUUUUGAAAUGGACAGUUUUCUUUUACCUGCAGUCUGUCUGGAGGCCCCUUCGCUAGUCUGGAUGGCGGUGCUAUUGGGCUCACUGAGGUCGGCUGGUUCCAGGCUGCUGUUAGCCCACCAGGAGACCUGCUCCACAAAGCAGGGGGACAGCGGCGUUCCCACUUGCACAAAAAGGCUGCAGGCCAGCUCCAUCUCGGCGCCUUGGCUGGAGGCUAAACAUUUCAAAGUGUGAAUGAAUGAAAGAUGAACUGCAAGUGAUUUUUCUUCUGUGUACUCAGCCUUGAACCUGGUAAACACUACGUUUUUUAAGAUGUAGCUGUGUGGUGCUAUGCAUGCAUCCGAUCCUGGCUUCCAGCUUCUGGGCGAUACUCGACAGUGUGCAACUGCCACAUUUUCUUUAUCUGCUCUCCCAGUGAUGAACAUCCAGGUCGCCUUUAACUCCUCGCCAGCGCAAACAGCCCUUAGACAGUUCUUGUGGACUGUGCGGGAAUUUCCCUAGGAUGUUUACCAGAGAAUUUGGACGUUAUAGACUGUGCAUAUAUUUAAUUUUACUACGUAGCUACACACUGCGCUCUGGAACAUCUACAUCCUUCUACACCCCGCCAACACCCCGCAUCUCUGCCAAGUAUUUCCCAUCACUUUUAUUUUUCAACUUUAAUAGAUGCAAAGUCGUAUCUCAUUCUGUUAAUUUGGAUUUGGCGGGUUACCAAUGAUUUUGAGUGUCUCAUAAUAUGCUUGUUACUUUUCUGUUUCCUCUUCUGAAAUUACCUAUUUAUACUCUUUAUCCAUUUUUCUAUAUUGUGGUUGUUGUUUUCUUCUUGAUUUGUAGUCCACAUAGAGUAUACAUCCCUUGCCAAUUUUAGAUAUUGCAAAUAUUUUCUCCCCUUUUGGCCAUUAUCUAUUUACUCUCCUCAUGAUGUCUUUUGUUGAAGAGAAAUCCUUAAUUUUCAUGUAUUUAUAUUUAUAUUGUUCUUUCCCACUGAUGUGUAGCGUCCCUUCUCCCAUAUGUUAGAUCCCUGUAUACACAUGGGUAUGCUCUGAGCUCUCUUCUCCAUCCCACUCUCAAUUCCUGUUUACCACAUUGCUUUCAUAACUAUGGCUUUAAAAUAUGUCUUUUUUUUUUUUUCUUUUGAGACGGAGUCUUGCUCUGUCACUCAGGCUGGAGUUCAGUGGCAUGAUCUCAGCUCACUGCAACCUCUGCCUCCUGGGUUCAAGCAAUUCUCCUGCCUCAGCCUCCCAAAUAGCUGGGAUUACAGGUGCCCACCACCAUGCCCAGCUAAUUUUUUGUAUUUUUAGUAGAAACGGGGUUUCACGAUGUUGGCCAGGCUGGUCUUGAACUCCUGACCUCAGGUGAUCCACCUGCCUCGGCCUCCCAAAGUGCUGGGAUUACAGGCAUGAGCCACCAUGCCUGGCCAAAAAGUGUCUUAUUAUAUAAUAGACAAGUUCCGCUCUUUACUAUUCCUUUUAAAAGUUGAGUUAGCUUUCAAAAACUUUUAUUGAGUCUCCAAAUCAAUUUUAAAGUAAGUUUAUUAAGCGCCUCAAAAAAAUCCAACUAAAAUGGGAUUAUCAUGGCAUUUAAUCUAUUGAUUAAUCUGGAAAAUUUUAACAACUUAGUAAGUUAUCCCAUCCAAGACUAUGGAAUGUCUUUCCAUUUGUUAAAAUCAUCUCCUAUCAUAGAUUAUUUUAAUAAAAUUUUAAAGUUUUAAAAAUUUAAGAACUUGUGUGUAUUCUUGACUAAAUUUCCAUGCUUUGUGCUCUUAUUGCCAUAUUCUUUUUAUUAUUAAUAGACUGUUUUAAGAGCAGUUUUAGGUUUCCAGAAAAAUUGAGCAGAAAGUAUGGAGUUCCCAUAAACCCCCCCUUCCCUGUCCCCAGUUUCCCCAAUUAUUAACAUAUUGCAUUUUUGUAUAUUUGUUAUAAUUGAUAUAUUGUCAAAUAGAGUCAACAGUUUACAUUAGGGCUUACUCUGUUGUACAGUUCUAUGACUUUUGUCAAAUACAUAAUGUCAUGUGUCCACCAUGAUAGUAACAUACAGAAUGGUUUCAUUGCCCUAAAAUUGCUUUGUGCUCCAUACAUUAAUUCUUCCCUCCGCCCUUUCCCUCAACCCUGAGAACCACUGACUUUUUACUGUCUCUAUAGUUUUGCCUGUUCCAGAAUGUCAUUUAGUUGGAAUCAUACAGUAUGUUGUCUUUUCAGACUGGCCUCUUUCACUUAGCAAAAUGCAUUUAAGCUUCUUCCAUGUGUUUUUGAGGUUUGAAACCUCAUUUCUUUUUAUCACUGAGUAAUAGUCUAUUAUACAGAUGUACUAUAGUUCAUUUAUUCAUUCACCUGUUGAAUGACAUUUUGGUUGCUUCCAAGUUUUGGCAAUAUGAAGAAAGCUACUAGAAACUUUGUGUGCAGAUUUUUGUGUUUUCAAUUCAAUUGGAUAAAUACUUAGGAGUCAGUUGCUUGACUUUAUGGUAAGACUGUGUUUAGCUUUGUAAUAAAUGGCCCCUCUGUCUUCUAAA